rnacentral:rRNA from 1 species
UACCAGACUCCUACGGGAGGCAGCAGUGGGGAAUAUUGCACAAUGGGGGAAACCCUGAUGCAGCGACGCCGCGUGAGUGAAGAAGUAUUUCGGUAUGUAAAGCUCUAUCAGCAGGGAAGAAAAAAGACGGUACCUGACUAAGAAGCCCCGGCUAACUACGUGCCAGCAGCCGCGGUAAUACGUAGGGGGCAAGCGUUAUCCGGAUUCACUGGGUGUAAAGGGAGCGUAGACGGCGACGCAAGUCUGGAGUGAAAGCCCGGGGCCCAACCCCGGGACUGCUCUGGAAACUGCGGCGCUGGAGUACGGGAGGGGCAGGCGGAAUUCCUGGUGUAGCGGUGAAAUGCGUAGAUAUCAGGAGGAACACCGGCGGCGAAGGCGGCCUGCUGGACCGUGACUGACGUUGAGGCUCGAGAGCGUGGGGAGCAAACAGGAUUAGAUACCCUGGUAC